rnacentral:rRNA from 1 species
GCAAGUCGAACGGUAACAUAGAAAAGGCUUGCUUUCCUGAUGACGAGUGGCGGACGGGUGAGUAAAGUUGGGAAGCUACCUGAUAGAGGGGGACAACAGUUGGAAACGACUGCUAAUACCGCAUACAGCCUGAGGGUGAAAGCAGCGAUGCGCUAUCAGAUGCGCCCAAAUGGGAUUAGCUAGUAGGUGAGGUAAAGGCUCACCUAGGCGACGAUCUCUAGCUGGUCUGAGAGGAUGAUCAGCCACAUUGGGACUGAGACACGGCCCAGACUCCUACGGGAGGCAGCAGUAGGGAAUAUUGCACAAUGGAGGAAACUCUGAUGCCAGCCAUGCCGCGUGUGUGAAGAAGGCCUUCGGGUUGUAAAGCACUUUCGGAGGGGAGGAGAAUGACGUUACCCUCAGAAGAAGCACCGGCUAACUCCGUGCCAGCCGCAGC